UGCAGUCGACGGANGGCCCGCUUGCGGGUACUCGAGUGGCGAACGGGUGAGUAACACGUGGGCAACCUGCCCCUAGCUCCGGGAUAACUCCUCGAAAGAGGUGCUAAUACCGGAUGACGACUCUCCAGGGCAUCCUGGUAGGUCCAAAGUUUUUCGGCUAGGGGUGGGCCCGCGGCCUAUCAGCUUGUUGGUGGGGUAACGGCCUACCAAGGCGACGACGGGUAGCCGGCCUGAGAGGGCGACCGGCCACACUGGGACUGAGACACGGCCCAGACUCCUACGGGAGGCAGCAGUGGGGAAUAUUGCGCAAUGGGCGAAAGCCUGACGCAGCGACGCCGCGUGAGGGACGAAGGCCUUCGGGUUGUAAACCUCUUUCAGCAGGAACGAAUCAAGACGGUACCUGCAGAAGAAGCACCGGCCAACUGCGUGCCAGCAGCCGCGGUAAUACGUAGGGUGCAAGCGUUGUCCGGAAUUAUUGGGCGUAAAGAGCUCGUAGGCGGUCUGUCGCGUCGAAUGUGAAAACCCGGGGCUCAACCCCGGGCCUGCAUUCGAUACGGGCAGACUAGAGUUCGGUAGGGGAGUCUGGAAUUCCUGGUGUAGCGGUGAAAUGCGCAGAUAUCAGAGGAACACCGGUGGCGAAGGCGGGACUCUGGGCCGAUACUGACGCUGAGGAGCGAAAGCGUGGGGAGCAAACAGGAUUAGAUACUCCUGGUAGUCCA
rnacentral:rRNA from 1 species